CUGGUUGCGCGCGGGGGCGCUGGUGGCGUCCGCGCAAAUGGCGUCCACGGUGGGUCCUUCAGAGAAGGACCGUGGAGGACUUUACGGUGCACGAGACCAGCAGGAUAACAGCUCAAACAGAAACUCACCGUGGCGGCAUCGUGGAAGGUCACCAGCAGCAGGAAACGAGGAGCGUGAAAUGUAAACGUGGAAAUUCACCGCAAAGCAGCAACACGUGAUGACUCGCCAUGUCGGCUUACACCUGCAUAAUAAAACAUUUAAAAAUCGCAAAGAAGAAGCACUUGAGUCCUAAGUUAGGAUGUCGAUUAUCGUAGCUUUACGCUUCGAAAGAUUUGGGACAGCCGUAGUACAGACGCGCGUUUUUGUUGUUUUUGGAGGCCUGAGAGUAAACACAC